rnacentral:ncRNA from 1 species
UACCGAUACUCGUAUAAUUUCGGGGAUAUGGCCCGUAAGUCUCUACCCAAAAACCGUAAACUUUUGGACUACGAGAAUUCAUU